rnacentral:rRNA from 1 species
CACGUAGGCACCAAGCGUUGUCCGGAUUUAUUGGGCGUAAAGAGCUCGUAGGCGGUUCAGUAAGUCGGGUGUGAAAACUCUGGGCUCAACCCAGAGACGCCACCCGAUACUGCUGUGACUUGAGUACGGUAGGGGAGACUGGAAUUCCUGGUGUAGCGGUGAAAUGCGCAGAUAUCGGGAGGAACACCGGUGGCGAAGGCGGUUCUCUGGGCCUUACCUGACGCUGAGGAGCGAAAGCGUGGGGAGCGAACAGG